rnacentral:rRNA from 1 species
GACGAACGCUGGCGGCGUGCUUAACACAUGCAAGUCGAGCGGUAAGGCCCUUUCGGGGGUACACGAGCGGCGAACGGGUGAGUAACACGUGGGUGACCUGCCCUUAGCUCUGGGAUAAGCCUGGGAAACUGGGUCUAAAUACCGGAUAUGACUCCAUGACGCAUGUUGUGGGGUGAAAGCCUUGUGCGGCUAGGGAUGGGCCUGCGGCCUAUCAGCUUGUUGGUGGGGUGAUGGCCUACCAAGGCGACGACGGGUAGCCGGCCUGAGAGGGCGACCGGCCACACUGGGACUGAGACACGGCCCAGACUCCUACGGGAGGCAGCAGUGGGGAAUCUUGCGCAAUGGGCGAAAGCCUGACGCAGCGACGCCGCGUGGGGAUGACGGCCU